rnacentral:rRNA from 1 species
UAGGGAAUCUUCCGCAAUGGACGCAAGUCUGACGGAGCAACGCCGCGUGAGUGAAGAAGGAUUUCGGUUCGUAAAACUCUGUUGUUAGAGAAGAACAGCGCAUAGAGUAACUGUUAUGCGUGUGACGGUAUCUAACCAGAAAGCCACGGCUAACUACGUGCCAGCAGCCGCGGUAAUACGUAGGUCCCGAGCGUUGUCCGGAUUUAUUGGGCGUAAAGCGAGCGCAGGCGGUCAAUUAAGUCUGAUGUGAAAGCCCCCGGCUCAACCGGGGAGGGUCAUUGGAAACUGGUUGACUUGAGUGCAGAAGAGGAGAGUGGAAUUCCAUGUGUAGCGGUGACAUGCGUAGGUAUAUGGAGGAACACCAGUGGCGAAGGCGACUCUCUGGUCUGUAACUGACGCGGAGGCUCGAAAGCGUGGGUAGCAAACAGG